rnacentral:rRNA from 1 species
AUACAGAAGCCUCAAGCGUUACCCGGAUUCACUGGGCGUAAAGGGUUCGUAGGCGGUUAUAUUAGUCGGGUGUUAAAUCCUGAGGCUCAACCUCAGGCUCGCAUUCGAAACGGUAUAACUCGAAGAAGUGAGAGGUGAACAGAACUCAUGGUGUAGGGGUGAAAUCCGUUGAUAUCAUGGGGAAUACCAAAUGCGAAGGCAGUUCACUGGCACUUUCUUGACGCUGAGGAACGAAAGCGUGGGUAGCGAACGGGAUUAGAAACCCCAGUAGUCC